rnacentral:rRNA from 1 species
AUGGAGCGUCCUUCUUCCUACCACGCGAGCAGCGCUGCUCUCCUGCUGGCUCUCCUUCUAUGCUGUUCCUUGGUGUGCUCGGCCGCGGCGCCCCCAGUAUUUCUGGACGGAGACCAUGACGGCCAAAGUCCACCGGCGCCUUUUCCCUCACGCCACAGGAAAACGGACUGUCCAGGCUGCGGCCACACCCGGCCGCCGGGGACAUCGGCUGGCCGCAAGACCUUGCAGGUUGCAGCCAACGUCGACCCUUCCGCAUGA